GGGGGCAGAGCUCAGGGGCAGGGCGUGUGCCUGGCGUGCACGAGGUCCUGGGUCCAAUCCCUAGUGCCUCUG
rnacentral:tRNA from 1 species